rnacentral:lncRNA from 1 species
GAGUCACAAGGCUAAAAAGAGUUCAGGCAAAUAUAACAAAACAACUGGCCGAACCUCAUCACCUAGGCAUGCCAGCAGGACAGAAGCACCCCAACAAUUAAGACAUCAUAUGGUGAGCUGUGUUGUGCACGUUGUCUGCAUUACAAAGUGGGAGAAAGGAUCAAUGUUGGCUCAAGUGGUCAGAAAAGGCUUCAAGAAGAAACACAUUCAUGAGGUAGAUGACUCUAGAGAAGAGAGCGAUACUGCUUACUAAAGCAGGAUCCAGGAUGCCUGGAUACUGCAGAUUAAUGAAUCCACACAAGGUCAGGGUUCCAUUCUUUGACCUCUUUGCUGAGGAGGUACCAGAGAAAAUUCAUCCUGAAGAUGAAAAAGGGUUUUGUGAGGUGGGAGAGAAUGUGCGUGUUGUCUGAAGUGGCAGAACAUAACAAGUCACAAUGCAAGGGAGACGAGGAACUGCCCAGAUCACCUGGCACAAUGCACAUACCACGCAAAAUCACACUCAUACACCAAAUCAAGCACUUUAAGCACAAUUCAAGAAGAGUUUAACAAAAGACUUAGGGAUGAUUUUGCUGAUUCUCAGAGAGCACUCACUUUCUAAAAGGGCAAAUCACUGGGGAUCCAUUUAGUGUUGUUACCUACAUAGAGUUUUACUCACCGUGAAACAGCAUACCUUCCAGAGGCCUGACAUAGCUCUCAAUUAUUCUGGCCUAGUUCCUGGGAAGGAUUUAUGUACCUUAAAUGGACGGGAGAAUAAUUUUAACCAUAUCAUACACAAUACUCAACAUGAAGUACUUGGAAAUGGUGGUGUAGGAACAACCUUAGUAAACAGGGAAACAUGACUGGUUUCAUAAAAACCCACACACACCUCUCUUUCUCCUGCCCCCAUAAAAGAGCAAGACAAAUAUGCAAAUUUAACGGAAAUUAAACAAAAGUCCACGAAUUGCAAUCAUUACAAGCCUAUUGCUAUCGUUGGCUGUAAUACACAAAAUGGGAUGUCCAUUUUUUAACCACUCAUUCAACACACGUUGAUAUUUUUACUUUUGUGGAACUCUCAAUU